rnacentral:tRNA from 1 species
UCCCUGGUAGCUCAGUGGGUUAGGCAUCCAGCACUGUCAUUGCUGUGGCACAGGUUCAACCCCUGGCCCAGGAA